GAUGAACGCUGACAGAAUGCUUAACACAUGCAAGUCGAUGGGGAAGUGGUGCUUGCACCAUGGCAACCAUGGCGGACGGGUGAGUAACGCGUAAGGGACUUACCUGCAGGACUGGGAUAACAGGGGGAAACUCCUGACAAGACCGGAUAAUGUCAUGGAGCUGCAUGGCUUUAUGAUGAAAGGAGACGCCUGCGGAGAGCCUUGCGUCCUAUUAGCUAGUUGGUGAGGUAAUGGCUCACCAAGGCGAAGAUAGGUAGCCGGCCUGAGAGGGUGGACGGCCACAAGGGGACUGAGAUACGGCCCUUACUCCUACGGGAGGCGGCAGUGGGGAAUAUUGGACAAUGGGGGCAACCCUGAUCCAGCAAUUCUGUGUGCACGAAGAAGGUUUUCGGAUUGUAAAGUGCUUUCAGCAGGGAAGAAGUAAGUGACGGUACCAGCAGAAGAAGCGACGGCUAAAUACGU
rnacentral:rRNA from 1 species